rnacentral:rRNA from 1 species
UUGCCUCAGUAACGGCGAGUGAAGCGGCAACAGCUCAAAUUUUAAAGCCGGCGUCCUCGACGCCCGCGUUGUAAUUUGGAGAGGCAUCUUCGGUUUGGGCGCCAGCCUAUGUUCCUUGGAACAGGACGUCACAGAGGGUGAGAAUCCCGUGCUUGGCUGGCUGUCCCUCUCCAUGUGAAGUGUCUUCGACGAGUCGAGUUGUUUGGGAAUGCAGCUCAAAAUGGGUGGUAAAUUUCAUCUAAAGCUAAAUAUUGGCGGGAGACCGAUAGCGCACAAGUAGAGUGAUCGAAAGAUGAAAAGCACUUUGAAAAUAGAGUUAAAAAGUACGUGAAAUUGUUGAAAGGGAAGCGCUUGAGACCAGACUCGGUCGAGGACGAUCAGCGGCCCUUCUGGGCCGUGCACUCGUCCUCGGUUCGGGCCAGCAUCGGUUGAGACGGCGGGAUAAAGGCCCGGGGAAUGUGGCUCCUCUCGGGGAGUGUUAUAGCCUCGGGCGCAAUGCCGCCAGCCUCGACCGAGGACCGCGCUCUUUUGCUAGGAUGCUGGCGUAAUGGUCUUCAGCGACCCGUCUUGAAACACGGACCAAGGAGUCUAACAUCUAUGCGAGUGUUUGGGUGUCAAACCCUUGCGCGUAAUGAAAGUGAACGGAGGUGGGAACCCCUCCUCUGGGGGGGCGCACCAUCGACCGAUCCUGAUGUCUUCGGAUGGAUUUGAGUAGGAGCAUAGCUGUUGGGACCCGAAAGAUGGUGAACUAUGCCUGAAUAGGGUGAAGCCAGAGGAAACUCUGGUGGAGGCUCGCAGCGGUUCUGACGUGCAAAUCGAUCGUCAAAUUUGGGUAUAGGGGCGAAAGACUAAUCGAACCAUCUAGUAGCUGGUUCCUG